rnacentral:lncRNA from 1 species
CAGUGCUUUAGAGUUCUGGCUCAUUUAGAUUGAAAACACAGACUUUUUAUAACUACUAUUGUAAGCUUAAUUUUCAGAACUUGAAGAGAGAGAACAACAACAAAAAACAAACUGCGCUAGCCAGGUGCAACGGCGCAUGCCUGUAGUCCCAGCUACUUGGGAGGCUGAGGCAGGCAGGAGUUCAAGGCUGCAGUGAGCUGUCUGUGCCACGGCACUCCAACCUGGGCAAAAGAGGAGACCUCAUCUAAAGAAGAAUCCACCAAAAACCCUGUGUUUUAAAGUGCAAACUGAUGAUGGAGGAAUGGGUGGAAGCAAUUACAGUAUGACCUGCAUUAAAGACAUGUACAGUUUUUUGGCCGGCUGCAGUGGCUCACACCUGUGAUCUCAACACUUUGGGAAGCUGAGACGGGAGGAUUGCUUGAGCCCAGGAGUUUGAGACCAGCUUGGGCAACGUGAUGAAACCCUGUCUCUACAAAUAAAAAAAAAAAUUAGCCAGGCAUGGUGGCACAAGCCUGUGGUCCCAGCUACUCAGAAGGCUGAGGUGGGAGUAUUGAUCGAGCCCAGGAGGUCAAGGCUGCAGCAAGCUGUCGCACCACUGCACUCUAGCCUGGGCAACAGCAAGACCCUCGUCUCAAAAAAGAAAAAAAAAAGUACAAUUUUUGUAUUGAUUAUGUAUUCCUUAAGUAGGAGUGGAAUAAAAGUAUUUU